GAUGAACGCUGGCGGCGUGCCUAAUACAUGCAAGUCGAGCGAACAGAUGAGGAGCUUGCUCCUCUGACGUUAGCGGCGGACGGGUGAGUAACACGUGGAUAACCUACCUAUAAGACUGGGAUAACUUCGGGAAACCGGAGCUAAUACCGGAUAAUAUAUUGAACCGCAUGGUUCAAUAGUGAAAGACGGUUUUGCUGUCACUUAUAGAUGGAUCCGCGCCGCAUUAGCUAGUUGGUAAGGUAACGGCUUACCAAGGCAACGAUGCGUAGCCGACCUGAGAGGGUGAUCGGCCACACUGGAACUGAGACACGGUCCAGACACCUACGGGAGGAAGCAGUAGGGAAUCUUCCGCAAUGGGCGAAAGCCUGACGGAGCAACGCCGCGUGAGUGAUGAAGGUCUUCGGAUCGUAAAACUCUGUUAUUAGGGAAGAACAAAUGUGUAAGUAACUAUGCACGUCUUGACGGUACCUAAUCAGAAAGCCACGGCUAACUACGUG
rnacentral:rRNA from 1 species